rnacentral:tRNA from 1 species
GCCCCGUUCGUCUAGCGGCCUAGGACGCUGGCUUCUCAUGCCAGUAGCACGGGUUCAAAUCCCGUACGGGGUGCCA